AACGAACGCUGGCGGCAUGCCUAAUACAUGCAAGUCGAACGAGAUCUUCGGAUCUAGUGGCGCACGGGUGCGUAACGCGUGGGAAUCUGCCCUUGGGUUCGGAAUAACGUCGGGAAACUGACGCUAAUACCGGAUGAUGACGUAAGUCCAAAGAUUUAUCGCCCAGGGAUGAGCCCGCGUAGGAUUAGCUAGUUGGUGAGGUAAAGGCGCACCAAGGCGACGAUCCUUAGCUGGUCUGAGAGGAUGAUCAGCCACACUGGGACUGAGACACGGCCCAGACUCCUACGGGAGGCAGCAGUAGGGAAUAUUGGACAAUGGGGGCAACCCUGAUCCAGCAAUGCCGCGUGAGUGAUGAAGGCCUUAGGGUUGUAAAGCUCUUUUACCCGAGAUGAUAAUGACAGUAUCGGGAGAAUAAGCUCCGGCUAACUCCGUGCCAGCAGCCGCCGUAAAAC
rnacentral:rRNA from 1 species